rnacentral:rRNA from 1 species
GACGAACGCUGGCGGCGUGCUUAACACAUGCAAGUCGAACGGAAAGGCCCUGCUUUUGUGGGGUUCUCGAGUGGCGAACGGGUGAGUAACACGUGAGUAACCUGCCCUUGACUUUGGGAUAACUUCACGAAACUGGGGCUAAUACCGGAUAGGAGCUCCUGCAGCAUGGUGGGGGUUGGAAAGUUUCGGCGGUUGGGGAUGGACUCGCGGCUUAUCAGCUUGUUGGUGGGGUAGUGGUUGACCAAGGCUUUGACGGGUAGCCGGCCUGGGAGGGUGACCGGCGACAAGGGGCCUACGAGAGGGCCCAGUCUCCAACGGGAGGCAGCAGGGGGAAAUAUUGCGCAAUAGGCGGAAGUCUGAUGCGAAGGCGCCGCGUUCGUGAUGACGGCCUUCGGGUUGUAAACCGCUUUCGCAUGUGACGAAGCGUGAGUGACGGUACUGGGUAAAGAAGCACCGGCUAACUACGUG